UCAGAAGGACAGGAUUGGGGU
rnacentral:misc_RNA from 1 species